AUUGAACGCUGGCGGCAGGCCUAACACAUGCAAGUCGAGCGGAUGAAGGGAGCUUGCUCCUGGAUUCAGCGGCGGACGGGUGAGUAAUGCCUAGGAAUCUGCCUGGUAGUGGGGGAUAACGUCCGGAAACGGGCGCUAAUACCGCAUACGUCCUGAGGGAGAAAGUGGGGGAUCUUCGGACCUCACGCUAUCAGAUGAGCCUAGGUCGGAUUAGCUAGUUGGUGAGGUAAAGGCCUACCAAGGCGACGAUCCGUAACUGGUCUGAGAGGAUGAUCAGUCACACUGGAACUGAGACACGGUCCAGACUCCUACGGGAGGCAGCAGUGGGGAAUAUUGGACAAUGGGCGAAAGCCUGAUCCAGCCAUGCCGCGUGAGUGAAGAAGGUCUUCGGAUUGUAAAGCACUUUAAGUUGGGAGGAAGGGCAGUAAGUUAAUACCUUGCUGUUUUGACGUUACCAAAAGAAUAAGCACCGGCUAACUUCGUG
rnacentral:rRNA from 1 species